GCCAUUUGACCUAGCAAUUCCAGCCCUAAGAAUUUGUCUAGAAGAAAUGAAAGCAUGUGUUCCAAAAAGACGUGUACAUAAAUGUUCUCAGCAGCCUCAUUCACUAUAGGCAGCAACUGGAAACAACCCAAGUGUCCGUCAGCUAGAGAAUGGAUAGACCCAUAUGGUCUGUGCAUACAGUGGAGUACUGCUCAGUUACACAAGGAAAAGAAACUAUGGAUACAGGUCACAGGAGGGAUGAACUUCAAAACAUUACAAGUUUCAACCCUGUCACCCAGGCUGGAGUGCAAUGGCGCGAUCUCAGCUCACUGUGCAACCUCCACCUCCUGGAUUCAAGCGACUCUCCUGCCUCAGCUUCCAGAGUAGCUAGGAUGACAGGUGCCUGCCACCACGCCGAGCUAAUGUUUUGUAUUUUUGGUAGAGAUGGGGUUUCACCAUGUUAGCCAGGCUGGUCUCGAACUCCUGAUCUCGGGUGAUCCUCCCCCAUCAGCCUCCCAAAGUGCUAGGAUUACAGGCGUGAGCCACCGUGCCCGGCCGUGCCAGGGUUUUCUAUUGAGUUUCUUGCCAAGGGUGACUUCCAAUAACAAUCCCCCCCUGCACUUUGCUUAGUUCUGGAAAGCUCAGGCCGCACAGGGUGAAUAAAAGCCUGAGUAGUGCAGUCCCCAUGGAGGGGCAGGGGUGCCACAAGGUGGGCAGCAGCUGGGAUGGGCAUUGUGAGGCACUGGGGGGGCUGUGGGGCUGGACAUGGUGAGUCACUAGCCUGACCUGUUUCCUGGUAACCAGGUGACAUAGGAAGCUUUGUGGGUUAUAGGCAUUAGCCAGGCCAGCAGCCCUCAGUCGGUAGCUGGCAGUGGAGGGAGGAGGAGCUCCGACUGUGCUCUUUGACGGCAGUUUUUGUGCCUCUUGGCGCUUGUCGUGUUUCUUUUUGAGUCAGCUCCGACUGUGGCUGGCCCAGGGGGAAGGCAGCAUCCAGUUAUGAAUCUGAUAUUUAUGAGGCCGUGGCUGCUGCAACAUCAGAAUCCACUACCGUAGAGCCUGGCAAGCUGGAUGUGGGAGCCACGGAGGGCCAAGACCUGCAGCACAUCAGCAACCAAAAGAUGCCCACAGCUUCUGUUCUGGACCUGGAAGAUAUUGCGCUUGAUAUUGCGGAGGAGGUGUUAUCUGAAAUGGUCCCCCUGAGGACCGCCUGAGUUUAAAACUUCUACCACCAAGUGAGGAAGACAAUGAUGACACCAAGAUUUUACCAUCACCUAUCCAGGCUUCUCUUGAGGACAACCUGACUUUAGUAUGCCUACCACCAAGUGAAGAUGAUUGUGAUGAUGACAAUGAUGAUGAUGAUGCCCAGAAUAUCACAGAAAUGCAAACGUAAAGGAUGUUGUGUCUGAAAUUGGUGGGUUCUUGGUCUCACUGACUUCAAGAAUGAAGCCGCGGACCUCUGUGAGUCCUCCUGGCUGUCAGGAGGGCUUUCCCCUUCAGAUACAUUCAUUGCCAGAGGAGCUAUCCAAAGUGCCUU
rnacentral:lncRNA from 1 species